UACGUAGGGGGCAAGCGUUGUCCGGAUUUAUUGGGCGUAAAGAGCGUGUAGGCGGCCAGGUAGGUCUGCUGUGAAAACUCGAGGCUUAACCUCGAGCUGUCGGCGGAAACCAUCUGGCUAGAGUCCGGAAGAGGAGAAUGGAAUUCCCGGUGUAGCGGUGAAAUGCGCAGAUAUCGGGAAGAACACCCGUGGCGAAGGCGGUUCUCUGGGACGGUACUGGCGCUGAGACGCGAAAGCGUGGGGAGCGAACAGG
rnacentral:rRNA from 1 species